rnacentral:misc_RNA from 1 species
GGGAUUUGCUCAAUGGAUGCUGGGCUCCUUAUAUUGAACGUGCUAUUACACUGAAACCAUGCUAUGAUGGAGGAGUCAAUGGUGGAGAGGUGGCUUCUAGAAUACUUCAAGAUACAGCUACCGGAAAACAUCACAGUUCACAUGGGCUUAGUGGAGCGCGUAGGCUGCGAGAUGCUAUCGUCCUUGGCUAUCAGCUUCAAAGAAUUACUGGGAAAGAUAUUGCUAUUCCUGAAUGGUAUUCACUUGCGCAAAAUGAACUUAGGUCACGCACUCAAUUGGCAAAUAAGGAAGUUCUCGAUAUUGGCAGUCUUACGAGACAAAGUGAUUACUUUACGAUUCUUCAUGGAGAUCAUCAAGGGCUCCCGGACACACUUGGUUUCUUGAAGAGCUUGGCUGAAAUGGAGUCCUCAGGUCGUCCUCAAAAUAAUAACAAGCUCCAAACACGCGACCAUCUGGCUGCUUCUGCAAUGUUCAAUUGGGAGGAAGAAAUAUUUGUUUCAAGAGCACCCGGAAGAUUGGACGUAAUGGGAGGAAUUGCUGACUAUUCUGGUAGUUUAGUACUACAAAUGCCUACCAGAGAGUCAUGCCAUGUCGCAAUUCAGAGAAACCAUCCAAGCAAGCACAAAUUGUGGAAACAUGCUCAGGCAAGGCAGCCCAAGGAAGGACCAACUGCUGUUCUUCAAAUUGUAUCACUUGGCUCAGAAUUAGGUAAUCGUGGACCAACUUUUGAUAUGGACCUUUCUGAUUUUGUGGAGGAUGGACGGCCAAUUACAUAUGAGAAAGCAUACAAUUAUUUUGCCCGAGACCCAGCCCAGAAGUGGGCAGCGUAUGUUGCUGGGACAAUUCUGGUACUGAUGACUGAAUUAGGCAUCCGUUUUGAGGAUAGCAUUAGCAUUCUGGUAAGUUCUGGUGUUCCUGAGGGCAAAGGUGUAUCUUCUUCUGCUGCUAUAGAAGUGGCCAGCAUGACUGCUGUUGCUGCUGCUCAUGGAUUGAACAUUGACCCCAGACAUCUGGCUCUGCUUUGCCAAAAGGUGGAGAAUCAUAUUGUUGGAGCUCCUUGCGGAGUGAUGGAUCAGAUGGCCUCUGCAUGUGGAGAGGCCAACAAGCUUCUUGCUAUGGUGUGUCAGCCUGCUGAGGUUCUAGGACUUGUUGACAUACCACCCACCAUUCGAUUUUGGGGAAUUGAUUCUGGAAUACGAC